CAUAAAAAAGAACAAAAUAAUGCCACUUGGAGCAACAUGGAUGGACCUAGGGAUUAUCGUGCUAAGUGAAGUAAGUCAGACUGAGAAAGAUAAAUAUCAUAUGAGAUCACUAAGAUGUGGAAUCUAAUUUUAUUUUAUUUCAUUUCAUUUUUGCUUUUUUUAAGGCCACACUUAUGGCAUAUGGAAGUUCCCAGGCUAGGCAUCUAAUCGGAGCUGCAGCUGCCAUGACCUACACCACAGCCACAGCAACUGAGGAUCUGAGUCACAUCUGCACCCUACACUGCAGCUCUUGGCAAUGUCAGAUCCACAACCCACUGAGGAAGGCCAGGGAUGGAACCCAAGUCCUCAUGGAUACUAGUGGGGUUCAUUACUGCUGAGCCACACAGGAACUCCUGGAAUCUAAUUUUAAAUGAUACAAAAGAAUUUAUUCACAAAACAGAAACAGAUUUUAAAACCAAAUUUAUGGUUACCAAAGGGGAAAUGUUGUGGGAAGGGAUAAAUUAGGUGUUUGGGAUUAACAUAUAUACACUACUAUAUAUAAAAUAGAUAAGUAACAAGAAUAUACUCUAUAGCACAUGGGAAUCUACUCAAUACCGUGUAACAACCUAAAAGGAAUGGAUAUGUGUAUGUAUAUGUUUAACUGAUAAGUUUGCUUUACACCUGAAACUAAAAAAGCAUUGUAAGUCAACUAUGCUGCAAUAAAAUAAAAAAUAAAAUAUGUAGGUUUAAUAAACGAAUGGAAAACAUAGUAGUAACAACAAAAAGAAUCUAAAUAGAUAAAUCCAGGAGUUCCCUGGUGACUCAUAGGGUUGAGGAUAUGGUGUCACUACUGUGGUUCUGGUUGUAGUUGUGGCUUGAGUUCAAUACCUGACCAGGAACUUCUACAUGACUUGGGCACAGCCAAAAUAAAUAGAGAAAUACUGUCUUGCGGAGCUCCCGCUGUGGCACAGUGGAAAUGAAUCUGAUUAGGAACCAUGAGGUUUUCGGUUUGAUCCCUGGCCUUGCUCAGUGGGUUAAGGAUCUGGCAUUGCCAUGAGCUGUGGUGUAGGUUGCAAACAUGGCUCGGAUCUCAGGUUGCUGUGGCUAUGGCAUAGGCCAGCAGCUGUAGCUCUGAUUAGACCCCUAGCCUGGGAACCUCCAUAUGCCAUGAUUGCAGCCAUAAUCAAUCAAUCAGACAAAAACAAACAAACAAAAACCAACAAACAAAAACCAAUGCAAGGAAUAGGGAAACAAAUUGAAGAAAAAAAUAGAAUCUUAGAGAACUAUAGAUCAGUGUGAAGUAUCCCAGCAUACAUUUACUGGGCAUCCUAGAAUGAGAGAAAGGGUGGAGGUGGGCAGAAAAAAUAAUAGAAGAAAUAAUUAAUGAAAACCUCCCAAAUUGAUAAGAAUAUUAAACGACAGAUUGAAGAAACCCAACAAACCCUGAUAUGAAAAGACAAGGUACCUCACCUGAAUACCUUAUAGCAAAACUGUUGAAAGACAAAGGAGAAAAAUAAAUUUUUGAAAGAAGCCACAGAAAAACAACUCAUUAUGAACAAGGGAGCAACAAUGUGAUUAAUAGCUUACUUUUCUCAUCAGAACGGUGACAUCAAGAAGACAGUGUAGGGAGUUCCCAUUGUGGCUGUGGUUUUGAAUCAAAGAAAUAACCUUACUGUUCAUAAGUAAUGUGUCUUUGGGGAGUUCCUGUCGUGGCUCAGUAGAAACAUAUCUGAUUUGUAUCCAUGAGGAUGCAGGUUCAAUCCCUAGCCUCGCUCAGUGGAUAAAGGAUCUGGCAUUGCCAAGAGUAGGUGUAGGUGGCAGAUGCAGUUUGGAUCCUAGGUUGCUGUGGCUGUGGUAUAGGACAGCAGCUGCAUCUCCGAUUCAACCCCUAGCCUGGGACCCUCCAUAUGCUGCAGGUGUAGCC
rnacentral:lncRNA from 1 species